rnacentral:rRNA from 1 species
UACGUAGGGUGCAAGCGUUAAUCGGAAUUACUGGGCGUAAAGCGUGCGCAGGCGGUUUUGUAAGUCUGACGUGAAAUCCCCGGGCUCAACCUGGGAAUUGCGUUGGAGACUGCAAGGCUGGAAUCUGGCAGAGGGGGGUAGAAUUCCACGUGUAGCAGUGAAAUGCGUAGAGAUGUGGAGGAACACCGAUGGCGAAGGCAGCCCCCUAGGUCAAGAUUGACGCUCAUGCACGAAAGCGUGGGGAGCAAACAGG